rnacentral:rRNA from 1 species
CUCGUAGGCGGUUUGUCGCGUCUGCCGUGAAAGUCCGGGGCUCAACUCCGGAUCUGCGGUGGGUACGGGCAGACUAGAGUGAUGUAGGGGAGACUGGAAUUCCUGGUGUAGCGGUGAAAUGCGCAGAUAUCAGGAGGAACACCGAUGGCGAAGGCAGGUCUCUGGGCAUUAACUGACGCUGAGGAGCGAAAGCAUGGGGAGCGAACG